rnacentral:rRNA from 1 species
AUUGAACGCUGGCGGCAUGCCUUACACAUGCAAGUCGAACGGCAGCACGGGAGCAAUCCUGGUGGCGAGUGGCGAACGGGUGAGUAAAGCAUCGGAACGUGCCCAGUCGUGGGGGAUAACGUAGCGAAAGCUACGCUAAUACCGCAUACGAUCUGGGGAUGAAAGCGGGGGACCGUAAGGCCUCGCGCGAUUGGAGCGGCCGAUGUCAGAUUAGGUAGUUGGUGAGGUAAAGGCUCACCAAGCCGACGAUCUGUAGCUGGUCUGAGAGGACGACCAGCCACACUGGGACUGAGACACGGCCCAGACUCCUACGGGAGGCAGCAGUGGGGAAUUUUGGACAAUGGGCGCAAGCCUGAUCCAGCAAUGCCGCGUGCAGGAUGAAGGCCUUCGGGUUGUAAACUGCUUUUGUACGGAGCGAAACGGCUUCCACUAAUACUGGGGGCUAACGACGGUACCGUAAGAAUAAGCACCGGCUAACUACGUGCCAGCCGCCGCAGUAACAC